AUAACAAGCCAUGUCCUAACCUCAGUUAAUGAUUGUAUUCCCACUAUUUCUAGAGAGAUAUUUGUCAGGCCGCUCAAUAUGCCCUUUUAUCUCUGAUGAAUAUUUUGUCUAAUUGAAAAUUAUAUCAAAGAUCCUACUUUUUUAAAAGCUUACCAUUUUGUCGGAUCCACCAUUGCUCUAUUAUCCCUGCUGAUUAUUUUGUAUAACGCACAAAAAAUAUACAUAGCUAACCCAACCUUAUUCCCUCACAUUGCUACAAAACAUGAUGAUUCUAUUAUUAAAGAUAAGCAAAGAAAAUAAUGACGAAUAAACAAACGC